CGGGAUAGCUCAGCUGGUAGAGCAGAGGACUGAAAAUC
rnacentral:tRNA from 16 species